rnacentral:tRNA from 1 species
GCGAGCGUGGUGGAAUUGGUAGACACGCUAGACUUAGGAUCUAGUGCUUCACGGCGUGAGAGUUCGAGUCUCUCCGCUCGCA